rnacentral:rRNA from 1 species
UACGUAGGGGGCUAGCGUUGUUCGGAAUUACUGGGCGUAAAGCGUACGCAGGCGGAUCGAUCAGUCAGGGGUGAAAUCCCAGGGCUCAACCCUGGAACUGCCUUUGAUACUGCCGAUCUGGAGUAUGGAAGAGGUGAGUGGAAUUCCGAGUGUAGAGGUGAAAUUCGUAGAUAUUCGGAGGAACACCAGUGGCGAAGGCGACUCACUGGUCCAUUACUGACGCUGAGGUGCGAAAGCGUGGGGAGCAAACAGG